AGACGUGACAGAUGAAGAGAGUGAAGUGAAGGGAUUCCUGCAGUGUCUGCCCUACAUCUCACAGCUGAGGUGAGAGUCUUAUAGGAUAAAGACCACCCUUGGUUAUUGUAUUCAGUGCUUACAAUAAAUUUAAUCUAUUUAACUUAAAUAUUUUAUUAAACAAUAUGUAUGUGAACAUGAACCAGAAUUGAACUGCAUAUAAUCACAAAAAACACUAAACUGACGUGUAGUUUUUUCGUCAGCAAUAUUAUGUUGUUGAAAUCCUGCUCUCACCCUCAUUCAGCCAUUUUUCUGCUGUGAGAGUGAUUGUAAUCAAAUGUUUCUAUUGUAACAGCUUCAUUCAGCACACAAUUUGUUUACAUGUGCAGUUAUGAUGAAGCUACAGUGCAUAAAGCUACAAGCUACAAUCUUCA